AAAUUUUCCAGCCGCGACUCUGCUGGAGAAAAGAGAGACCAUUCUAACCUUUAGUUUUAGGGUUUUGUGUGUAUCUUUGUGUGUUUUCUUUCAUUUAUCCUUGUUUUUAUUUAUUUAUUUACUUUUUCCAUUUUCAUUUUUAUUCUUCCUGUUUUAUCUUUAUUUUGUAUAUAUGCCUGCAUGUCAUUAGUUGGGAUUGUUAUAUAUGAGAAGAUAAAUCCCAAGCUUGGAGGAGAAAUAUAAGUUAAGAAGUAGAACUAAUGCUAAC
rnacentral:lncRNA from 1 species